UUUCAUAUCUCUGUAAUAAUCACAACCCACUCUCACCAUUCAAUUCCCUUAUUAACUCCUUUCAUUACAGAUGUUGUCGUUCCAUCUCCUAUUUUUUCCUCUCUUAUAUAAUCAUCUUUCUCGAAUCGUUUGUUGGUCAAUAUCCAAAACCCUCUAGAGGAGAACAAAAUGCGAUGGCCAUGAAAUCUGUUCUGAACUCCUGCAAGUCCAAGUUGCCGUGACAUCUCUCUGACAUCUCUCUGGGCGAACGGAUUGUGAAUUAGGAUUCUUUAUGAUUCACUUUUGGGAGGCUAGAAACACUGCAAAAGGGGGAUUGUUAUUGGUUUUGAGAUGCUACACAUCUACGAACAGAUAAUAGUCCGGCCGCAGCUGGAGAGCAUUCAGAAGAUGAUGGAACCAGUUCCACUGAUCGGAUUCCUAACAGGUUUGCUUCAAUAUUUUCUUUACAUCCACAAGAUAUCAUUGAUCACUGACAACAAUGCAUUUGCUGGCUUUCUUACUCUUUUAUCGCAUGGGAAGGUUAAUUCAUUUGUUUGUUUUGGUUCCCUGACCUUGCGUUGGAGGGACCCUUUGCGUAUGGGUUCUUAUGUACUUUUUGAAGAAGCCUUUAACAUUUGUUUCAGAGAUUGAAUCUCAUCAAUUUGAAACAGAAUUUUAAGUAGCCAGUGAAAAAGAUAAGAAAUUGGGACGUCAAAAAUACAUAGACAUGAAUCAGGAUCGACAUUGAAAGGGAGAAGAGCAGGGACAGAAACAGAGACAUGAUGAAAAGGAUAGUUAAUGCAACCGCCACAAUUGUAGAAAUUUUCAUAGAGACCGUAGCAGAGAACAUAGUGAGAAAGGGAACGUGAGAGAGACGAUAUGGAUGAUGAUCAUUACAAAAGUCGAGACCGUGACAGGGAGAGGUCUCACGAGCAAGAAAGAGAGGAGAGUCACAGGCGCUCUCACUCGAGCAGCCGCUCUUAACGUAAGUCAAGGUCACGACAUAUGCAUAAGUAUGAACAUAGAUCACGUUCACUAUUACAGGUAGAAUAGUGGAGGUCAACAAGAUGGUAGGAGAUUGCAGGAGUCAUGUCUGCGAUAUUACCACAAUGCAUAAAAUAUUAUCUGUUGGAGCAUUUUUAUUACUGUUUGAGGAACUCAAGGUCAUGAAUUUGAGAGAAACUGGUAAUGUUUUAAACCAAAAAGAAAAAAAAGCAUAAAGGUGAUCGGAAACAAAACAAAUGUGUGUGCGUAUGUUUUAAAAAUCUGCGACAGAAACGAG